CCGACUGCUUCACCAAAGUCGCAAGUUAGCCGUAAGUUACCUGCAAGGUGGAAGCGUGGAUCUCGACAGUGGAUAUUUUCUGUCAGAUCUGACACUUCUACAGUGCAGUGAAAACUUGAAAUUCAACAAUCAACAAUGUGAGUGGAGAAGUGGUCUCUUCGCUGACAUUAAACUAGUGAGAUUCUACUCCUCCAUUUCACAUUGAAGACAAAACUGCACCAGAUUCGAUGAAUACUCACUUGUAUCGACAGAAAAUGUAAACAGCCACAGCGAGCGCAAUCAGACUAACAGUAUAUCCGAAGAGAUAAAUUGUGGUGGUGAGUUCGAUCGAAUGCGACACGUGAUCGUUGACGAUGUGCUCAUUCUCCAACUCGCGACAAUUGCUGUAAUCCGUGUAUUCUGCCCAUGUACCCGUUGAGAGACACUCCCGCGUUGCAUUCUCUGUAAUAAUGUGUAGCAAUUUGUGUGUUUUUUCUGAUUAAAUCAAUAAAUAUUACAAGUGA